UUGAAUACCUGCCUCCACUUUAUUCUGGAA
rnacentral:piRNA from 1 species